rnacentral:rRNA from 1 species
AUUGAACGCUGGCGGCAGGCCUCACACAUGCAAGUCGAGCGCUCGGGGGACGGGUGAGUGUUGUGUGGGAAACGGCCUGAUGGGGGGGGAUAACUACUGUAAACGCUGGCUAAUUUCCCACACCCUCACAUGUGCCCCGAUGGGAUUAGCGAGUAGGUGGGGUAACGGCUCACCUAGGCGACGUUCCCUAGCUCGUCUGAGAGGAUGACCAGCCACACUGGAACGGAGACACGGUCCAGACGCCUACGGGAGGCAGCAGUGGGGAAUAUUGCACAAUGGGCGCAAGCCUGAUACAGCCAUGCCGCGUGUGGGAAGAAGGCCUUCGGGUUGUAAAGCACUUUCAGCGGGGAGGCGUUACCCGCAGAAGAAGCACCGGCUAACUCCGUGCCAGCAGCCGCGGUAAUUC